rnacentral:rRNA from 1 species
GAUGAACGCUGGCGGCGUGCCUAAUACAUGCAAGUCGAGCGAACAGACGAGGAGCUUGCUCCUCUGACGUUAGCGGCGGACGGGUGAGUAACACGUGGAUAACCUACCUAUAAGACUGGGAUAACUUCGGGAAACCGGAGCUAAUACCGGAUAAUAUAUUGAACCGCAUGGUUCAAUAGUGAAAGACGGUUUUGCUGUCACUUAUAGAUGGAUCCGCGCCGCAUUAGCUAGUUGGUAAGGUAACGGCUUACCAAGGCAACGAUGCGUAGCCGACCUGAGAGGGUGAUCGGCCGCACUGGAACUGAGACAGGGUCCAGGCGCCUGCGGGAGGCAGCAGUAGGGAAUCUUCCGCAAUGGGCGAGAGCCUGACGGAGCAGCGGCGCGUGAGUGAUGAAGGUCUUCGGAUCGUAAAACUCUGUUAUUAGGGAAGAACAAAUGUGUAAGUAACUAUGCACGUCUUGACGGUACCUAAUCAGAAAGCCACGGCUAACUACGUG